rnacentral:lncRNA from 1 species
UUGAAGUGCUCACCAAUAUCCGUGCGCUUGCGGAUCAUUUCCUGAUGGCGUUACCAAAUAUCAACAAGCAUUUCUGGCACCGUUGCCGGGGAGCAAGACGGUUUGCUGAGAUAACUUUAAGUCUUGCUAUUAUCUUGUAUUAUACUUUUAUACUUUUAUUCUUUUAUCUUUUUAUUUUUUCCAUCUUUAUGGAUAACUGAAAUUCCACACCUAUUAUUAAAUUUUUGCACCUUCAGAGACCAGCCAUAGACCAUGGGAGUCAACAAGUCCUUUCUUUGCCCCUAAUUAUGAUUUGUGUCCGGAGUUGAUUGCAAUAGGUCAAAACCAACCCUUUUCUAUAGCUGAGGUCCUAUCUUUUAAUCAAGAAGAUAAUGAACUUUUAGCUACACCUAGGGAAUCUAUUAAUCUUUCUAUAAAUUCUAGUUUAAACCUAGCCCUACAAAACCAUGUUUUUUCUCGAUAUUUUCACAUUGGUCUUAGUCAUAUAACCUUUGGUAGAGUCUUUCUUUCUUUAUCUAUUAGUAAAGGAAGGUAUGUCUUCAUUCAUGGACAUCCUUCUUGCACUAGUCUUCAUAAAAAAUUCCUAGAGAUAGAGAAGGAAUCAUCUCCCAGACAAGGAAAGGAAGUUUCAAUAGCCGAUUUCCAAACAUUUCAAUCCCAUGAUUCGGCUGUCCGUUGACACCAUUUUUGGACACGUAUCCAGGAUCGGUAGAGUGU